UGACCUAUGCUUGAUAAACAUUGUCAUCCUUGGUAACAACGUAUCAUUUGGUCGCGAACAGAUUUAAGGACUAAACGACAAAUUCUCCUUUGUCGAGUCUAAGUAGUCCUAAGGACUUCACCACAAUAUAGAAGUUCAUUAGAAGAUGAAAUAUUUUGUGUUGAAAAAAUACCAAAAUAAUUUUUAUAAUUCAUAAUUUAUGUACAUAUACAAAAAUGAGCACAACCAUCAACAGGCUGACGAUUGGCUUUGGAACACUAUUCCCAACAUACGAGGUGG
rnacentral:lncRNA from 1 species